rnacentral:rRNA from 1 species
CAGUAGCCGCGGGAAUACGUAGGUGGCAAGCGUUGUCCGGAAUUAUUGGGCGUAAAGGGCUCGCAGGCGGUUUCUUAAGUCUGAUGUGAAAGCCCCCGGCUCAACCGGGGAGGGUCAUUGGAAACCGGGAAACUUGAGUGCAGAAGAGGAGAGUGGAAUUCCACGUGUAGCGGUGAAAUGCGUAGAGAUGUGGAGGAACACCAGUGGCGAAGGCGACUCUCUGGUCUGUAACUGACGCUGAGGAGCGAAAGCGUGGGGAGCGAACAGGAUUAGAUACCCCAGUAGUCCCUGUCUCUUAUAC